GGUCAGAUAGUUCAGUUGGUAGAGCACCUGACUAGAAAUUCAGGGGGCCCAGUUUUGAAUAUUGGUCUGCUCC
rnacentral:tRNA from 1 species